GUGCCUAACACAUGAAAGUCGAUCGUGAUAGUCCUUCGGGAUGAGUAAAGUGGCGAACGGGUGAAUAACGCGUAGGAAUCUACCCUUAGGUGAGGGAUACCCUAGAGAAAUUUAGUCUAAUACUGUAUAAGCCGGGAACCCGGGAAAGGUGGCCUCUGUGUUACCGCACAAGGAUGAGCCUGCGUUCUAUUAGUUAGUUGGUGAGGUAAAGGCUCACCAAGACGAAGAUGGUUAGCUGCCCUGAGAGGGUGUACAGCCACAAUGGGACUGAGAUACGGCCCAUUCUCCUACGGGAGGNAGAAGUGGGGAAUUUUGCACAAUGGGCGAAACCCUGAUACAGCGACGCCGCGUGGAGGAUGAAGGUUCCCGUAUUGUAAACUCCUGUUAAGUGGGAAGAAAGCCCCUGU
rnacentral:rRNA from 1 species